rnacentral:rRNA from 1 species
GAGUUUGAUCUUGGCUCAGAUUGAACGCUGGCGGCAGGCCUAACACAUGCAAGUCGAGCGGUAGAGAGAAGCUUGCUUCUCUUGAGAGCGGCGGACGGGUGAGUAAUGCCUAGGAAUCUGCCUGGUAGUGGGGGAUAACGCUCGGAAACGGACGCUAAUACCGCAUACGUCCUACGGGAGAAAGCAGGGGACCUUCGGGCCUUGCGCUAUCAGAUGAGCCUAGGUCGGAUUAGCUAGUUGGUGAGGUAAUGGCUCACCAAGGCGACGAUCCGUAACUGGUCUGAGAGGAUGAUCAGUCACACUGGAACUGAGACACGGUCCAGACUCCUACGGGAGGCAGCAGUGGGGAAUAUUGGACAAUGGGCGAAAGCCUGAUCCAGCCAUGCCGCGUGUGUGAAGAAGGUCUUCGGAUUGUAAAAGCACUUUAAGUUGGGAGGAAGGGCAGUAAAUUAAUACUUUGCUGUUUUGACGUUACCGACAGAAUAAGCACCGGCUAACUCUGUGCCAGCCGCCGG